UGCAAGUACAAGCCAGGUACAGUCAGGUCUCCACAGUGCAAGCCUCUCUUUGCUGACCCAAACCCUGAGCUGAGCUGAGACCACAUGCCUAGGAGAUUCCCCGGCAGAUAAAGACUCUACCAUUCUAUACCUAUGACCAGCCAAUGGUCGGAUAUUGCCAGACCCACAAGACCCUCCUUGUAAAUAAGGGCUAUGAUGGGACAUCUCAAGAGCAAAGAGAAGCCACCAACCUAGAGCUUAGUAGGGACCAGAGCUACAUCUCGACAAUAGCUUGCUCAGCAGCACCUGCCAUAUACAUUGAAAGGAUACCAAACCAAUAACAUCUGGAGUCUUGGAUUGUGACAUUUGGAAGAAGUGCAUAGAGGACCUAUACAGAUCAAAGCUGAUAGGAGCACCUUGUAAAUGCUAUGUGCUCUUACAAUAAACAAGAGAAAAAAAAAAAUAAUAAUACACUAAGCUAAACAGCUUGAGCAUGGGACCCAUUUCAGCCUUCAGGGCCAUGGAACUUGAAACGAUGAUGUGAGAAAAGCAAGGGGUUUAUCUUGGCUUUAAAGGAUUAUGCAAACCCCACUGGUGUAUAAAAA